rnacentral:piRNA from 1 species
UGGUCACCAAAACCUAAAGAUGGUGAUAAG